UACUAAUCUGCGAUAAGCGCCGGUAAGGUGAUAUGAACCGUUAUAACCGGCGAUACCCGAAUGGGGAAACCCAGUGUGAUUCGUCACACUAUCAUUAACUGAAUCCAUAGGUUAAUGAGGCGAACCGGGGGAACUGAAACAUCUAAGUACCCCGAGGAAAAGAAAUCAACCGAGAUUCCCCCAGUAGCGGCGAGCGAACGGGGAGGAGCCCAGAGCCUGAAUCAGCAUGUGUGUUAGUGGAAGCGUCUGGAAAGGCGCGCGAUACAGGGUGACAGCCCCGUACACAAAAGCGCAUGUGCUGUGAGCUCGAUGAGUAGGGCGGGACACGUGGUAUCCUGUCUGAAUAUGGGGGGACCAUCCUCCAAGGCUAAAUACUCCUGACUGACCGAUAGUGAACCAGUACCGUGAGGGAAAGGCGAAAAGAACCCCGGCGAGGGGAGUGAAAAAGAACCUGAAACCGUGUACGUACAAGCAGUGGGAGCACAGGUUUACCUGUGUGACUGCGUACCUUUUGUAUAAUGGGUCAGCGACUUAUAUUCUGUAGCAAGGUUAACCGAAUAGGGGAGCCGGAGGGAAACCGAGUCUUAAUUGGGCGUUAAGUUGCAGGGUAUAGACCCGAAACCCGGUGAUCUAGCCAUGGGCAGGUUGAAGGUUGGGUAACACUAACUGGAGGACCGAACCGACUAAUGUUGAAAAAUUAGCGGAUGACCUGUGGCUGGGGGUGAAAGGCCAAUCAAACCGGGAGAUAGCUGGUUCUCCCCGAAAGCUAUUUAGGUAGCGCCUCGUGAAUUCAUCUCCGGGGGUAGAGCACUGUUUCGGCUAGGGGGCCAUCCCGGCUUACCAACCCGAUGCAAACUGCGAAUACCGGAGAAUGUUAUCACGGGAGACACACGGCGGGUGCUAACGUCCGUCGUGAAGAGGGAAACAACCCAGACCGCCAGCUAAGGUCCCAAAGUCAUGGUUAAGUGGGAAACGAUGUGGGAAGGCCCAGACAGCCAGGAUGUUGGCUUAGAAGCAGCCAUCAUUUAAAGAAAGCGUAAUAGCUCACUGGUCGAGUCGGCCUGCGCGGAAGAUGUAACGGGGCUAAACCAUG
rnacentral:rRNA from 1 species